GUGAAUGAAAAUCAUACAUAAUGAUGGAUGAGAUGUUUGAACUAAUUUAUUAUCAUACAUUGUAUUUUUGUUGAUUUUUAUGUAUAUGUUUUUUAAUAUUUUUACUUUUAAUUUAUACAAUAUAUACUUUUUUAUGUGGUUUUGCAUUGGUAGAAUUUUGUGUUAUGGUUCUUAUUGUUAAUUUGAUGUAAAUAUACAUGUUUUGAUUUCCAGGGAUUCCCAUGGAGAUUGAUUUGUGGAGAUAAAGU
rnacentral:lncRNA from 1 species